rnacentral:lncRNA from 1 species
UAGAAAUAGAGAUAGAGAAAUCAUAUGAGAGAAAAGAGGAAAGAGCAAACCGUCUCCUGGCUUUAGAAAGAGAGAUAGAGAAAUCAUAUGAGAGAAAGGAGAAAGGAGCAAAUCCUCUCCUUUAUGGACGACCUUUGAUGAGUACUUUCCUCACCUAUAGAUCUAGAUUUCUUCUACAUGUUUCCCAAUCCAUUUUUAGAUGAAGAGUAAUAUUUUUAUUAAUAUUUUCUAGAGUAAUCAAGAAAAGGGUUGCGAGAAUGUGUUUGGGGAAACCUAGAUCUAGGGAAUGGGAAAGUACUCACCACAGAGAAUUCAAGAUAGUUUGUUUGUUUGUCUCCCUCAGUUUGCAUCAUCUCACAGGACUAGUCAGAUCUGGUAUUUUUCUUUCACGCAUAGUUUCUUCUCUGUUUCUCUUAUACAAUUUAUUUAAUUUUCUAAAGUUAGGAGGCAUGAUAAGAAAAAAAUAAUCCAUAAUCAUCUCUUUAAAGAUUUCUUGUUAUAUCCAAAACGUUUGAUAUCUAAAUAAGAAUUAAUUUUGCCCAUAAAUUGCAUUGA